rnacentral:rRNA from 1 species
UCCAGGAAAAGCCUCUAAGCAUCAGGUAACAUCAAAUCGUACCCCAAACCGACACAGGUGGUCAGGUAGAGAAUACCAAGGCGCUUGAGAGAACUCGGGUGAAGGAACUAGGCAAAAUGGUGCCGUAACUUCGGGAGAAGGCACGCUGAUAUGUAGGUGAAGUCCCUCGCGGAUGGAGCUGAAAUCAGUCGAAGAUACCAGCUGGCUGCAACUGUUUAUUAAAAACACAGCACUGUGCAAACACGAAAGUGGACGUAUACGGUGUGACGCCUGCCCGGUGCCGGAAGGUUAAUUGAUGGGGUCAGCGCAAGCGAAGCUCUUGAUCGAAGCCCCGGUAAACGGCGGCCGUAACUAUAACGGUCCUAAGGUAGCGAAAUUCCUUGUCGGGUAAGUUCCGACCUGCACGAAUGGCGUAAUGAUGGCCAGGCUGUCUCCACCCGAGACUCAGUGAAAUUGAACUCGCUGUGAAGAUGCAGUGUACCCGCGGCAAGACGGAAAGACCCCGUGAACCUUUACUAUAGCUUGACACUGAACAUUGAGCCUUGAUGUGUAGGAUAGGUGGGAGGCUUUGAAGUGUGGACGCCAGUCUGCAUGGAGCCGACCUUGAAAUACCACCCUUUAAUGUUUGAUGUUCUAACGUUGACCCGUAAUCCGGGUUGCGGACAGUGUCUGGUGGGUAGUUUGACUGGGGCGGUCUCCUCCUAAAGAGUAACGGAGGAGCACGAAGGUUGGCUAAUCCUGGUCGGACAUCAGGAGGUUAGUGCAAUGGCAUAAGCCAGCUUGACUGCGAGCGUGACGGCGCGAGCAGGUGCGAAAGCAGGUCAUAGUGAUCCGGUGGUUCUGAAUGGAAGGGCCAUCGCUCAACGGAUAAAAGGUACUCCGGGGAUAACAGGCUGAUACCGCCCAAGAGUUCAUAUCGACGGCGGUGUUUGGCACCUCGAUGUCGGCUCAUCACAUCCUGGGGCUGAAGUAGGUCCCAAGGGUAUGGCUGUUCGCCAUUUAAAGUGGUACGCGAGCUGGGUUUAGAACGUCGUGAGACAGUUCGGUCCCUAUCUGCCGUGGGCGCUGGAGAACUGAGGGGGGCUGCUCCUAGUACGAGAGGACCGGAGUGGACGCAUCACUGGUGUUCGGGUUGUCAUGCCAAUGGCACUGCCCGGUAGCUAAAUGCGGAAGAGAUAAGUGCUGAAAGCAUCUAAGCACGAAACUUGCCCCGAGAUGAGUUCUCCCUGACUCCUUGAGAGUCCUGAAGGAACGUUGAAGACGACGACGUUGAUAGGUCGGGUGUGUAAGCGCAGCGAUGCGUUGAGCUAACCGGUACUAAUGAACCGUGAGGCUUAACCUUACAACGCCGAAGGUGUUU